GCAUCCUGUGGCUCAGUUGGUAGAGCAUUGCGCUAACAACGCAAAGGUUGUGGGUUCAAAUCCCAGAAAAAGCG